UACGUAGGUGGCAAGCGUUGUCCGGAUUUAUUGGGCGUAAAGAGCGUGUAGGCGGCCAUGUAGGUCCGGUGUGAAAACUCGAGGCUUAACCUCGAGAUGUCAUCGGAAACCAUUUGGCUAGAGUCCGGAAGAGGAGAGUGGAAUUCCUGGUGUAGCGGUGAAAUGCGCAGAUAUCAGGAAGAACACCAAUGGCGAAAGCAGCUCUCUGGGACGGUACUGACGCUGAGACGCGAAAGCGUGGGGAGCGAACAGG
rnacentral:rRNA from 1 species